UACGUAGGGUCCGAGCGUUGUCCGGAAUUAUUGGGCGUAAAGGGCUCGUAGGCGGUCUGUUGCGUCGGGAGUGAAAACUUACAGCUUAACUGUGAGCGUGCUUCCGAUACGGGCAGACUUGAGGUAUUCAGGGGAGAACGGAAUUCCUGGUGUAGCGGUGAAAUGCGCAGAGUAUCAGGAAGAACACCGGUGGCGAAGGCGGCUCUCUGGGCCUUACCUGACGCUGAGGUGCGAAAGCGUGGGGAGCAAACAGG
rnacentral:rRNA from 1 species